CAGCAACACUGGGGACCGUCCUCUCUCCCUUCCUCUUCACCAUCUAAACCACGGACUUCAGCUACCACACACAGUCCUGCCACCUUCAGAACUGCAACACUGCGUUACACUGAUGUGUCCAACAGGAUCCAAAUUGAACUCUCAAACCAUAACCUCAAAACCUUUGAAAGGCCACAGGACCAUUUUCAUCAACUGUCAAACACAAAACCUGGUGUGGCUGGUGAAUUUGAACAUUUAUCUGUCAGUGGCUUGUAGAUGUUCACAUUUUAAAGCACAACCAACCUGUGACGGUCUCCUCCCCUCAGCUGAGUUCUCAGCAAAUAAACUGAUGUGAGUCUGAGACCAGAGAGAAAGCUCUGUUUCUAAAAGUUAGUUUCACUCCUGUUUUCCUGUUUGCACUUUCACAUAUCAGCCUUAUUUUACUGUUUACUGACUGCUUUCAGCCAUGUAGCGCUAACAUUGUAACUGCUUCAUCGUGGUUUCAGAUUUAAUCCAUCCGUACAAAUGCAAAACCAAGGGUUUGGCCAGCAGAUGUCGCCAUACUGACGGAAUCAAAUCUGUCAGGAUCACUGUGACUACAAGUUUCCCCGUGUUCUUCCCCUUCCUGUUUCCUCUUGUGUGUUUUGUCUGUCUCUCUGUGUUUGUGUGGCGAUCCUCCACUCUCUUUCUGGUCGUCCCAGUCUGCUCCCACUGGCUUCCCACCUGAUCCUCAUCAACUUCCCCACUCUGCUGUAUAUGUGCAACCACUCAUCGCCAGAUUGUUCCGUCAGCUACUGUGGUAGUUUACCUCUCUGUCCUCCUCCUGUUGCAAGCUUAGUGACGUCCCUGUUUGAUUUACCUUUGCCUAAUUCAGUCGGUCAGUGCUUCAGACCAGGCUCACCUGCCUGCCUGCUCUCACCUGACACUCCACGCCGUCUCCAGCAAGCCACAAUGGAUUCAUCCACCCAUCAGCCUGCCUCAGUCUCCCUCAGCCACUGCCACUGCGACUCCCUCGGCUCCCUCAACCCUCUCCAUCUCCAUUCCCCACUGCCCUUUACAAUAACUGCCCCUUUAUCAAUCCCAAACCGUUUGUCUCUGAGUCUGCUUCUGGGUACAAAUCUGCAAAUCCUAACGGAAACACUUUCAACACAACUGCUUCACAGUGAUUCUGUGCUUCAGAAAGCUUCGUUUCCCCCAUAACUACUCAGAACCGUUGUGUUCCUCUUGACGUUGACCUUCAAAGCUUCCAACUCACCUUCCUCUUCAUCAGUGGGAUGAUGCUGCCCUCUGCUGGACUGGAAGAAUACAACAAUCUGAACAUUUUCAUAAAGGUGUAGGCCGCACAAAACCUUUAAGGGCACAUUCACUAAAUGUAAAGCGAGCAGGUUUGUCAGGCUGUGAUACACUAUAUGGCCAAAAGUAAGUGGACAGUUGACAGAGUAACAUGUGACUGUGACAUCAUGUCCACUCUUCUGGUUUCAGUCUUUCCAGCAGAUGUUGAACCUGCUGCAGGGAUUCGCUCCCAUUCAGACUCCAGAGCAUCAGUGAGGUCCAGCACUGAUGUUGGUGAUCAGGUCUGGAUCACAGUCGGCGUUCCAGUUCAUCCCAAAGGUACGGUGGCCCUGAAGUGCAAAACAACAUUACAAAGUGUGAAACACUUUUACAAAGCUAGAGACAAAUUUACAUUUUGGAAAACAAAUGAACAAGAUGCAAAACACUUUUACCAGUCCCGAAACAAAUUUACAAUGACAGAUUCUUCACGGAGAGGGAAUGUACCAUACACCGGAAGUGACGCGGUAAAUUCGUGUUGUGGUUGUGGAGUUAAUGGCGUAAAUAAAGUUUAUGGUGACCGAACAUGGACUGCGGCCAAGGGAUGUUUUGCCCCUUUUGUGGCAAACACAUGAGCAUCUUAACGUGGUUUUGCUUUACUUGUGGUCGGUGUUUGGAGUUUCUAAAGGACGCGGACCAGACGGAAACACAGGGGACGUCUCGACAGCCGGACAGUGCUAAGCAAAAAGUCUGUCCAUUUCAGCAGAACAGCCAUGCCCAUCAUACAAACAGUUCAUGGAGUACAGAAGCUCGAAGUCAAAAGAACGGCAGUCUUUUAACUUUGGGCCAAAAGGAAGAUUUAAGCCUAAAGAAAGAAAACACGUCCAGAUAAAUGUAGGACUGAUGGUGCCACAUGAAACUGAUGGAGCCGAUUUAAAACCUCUACGAGGGAAAACACUCCCGUUAUUUGCAGACCCGGAGUGGAUGAUACCUCAGACUCUGAUUCUGAAACUGUCAUCACAACAAGGAGCACAGCUGAAUUCAAUCGAGCUGACACUUUGGUUUUUGAACCACAAAAUCGAAGUACUCCCAAACUCAAACUGGAAGAUGAAAGAGAUGCACCAGGACAUUCAUCAACAAUUCGGCCAGGACAGAUAGUAAUAUCUGAUGCUGAGGAUCUGGAUCCACCUGAAAAAAAUCCAGAAUAAACUUUUUGCUACAGUAAAUACACAGACCUGUAUUCACCAAAUGUUGAGCAAGAAGAUGAAGAGCCGGUUGCUGUCAAUGUGAAGAAUUUCCAACACACAGCAAUGGAGGAGACGGACAUUACAUUACCUGACAUCAUAGCAAACCUGUCGCUUCCUAUUGAUCAUAAGAGAGUCUGCCGGUUCAACAUCUCAAGGGCUCAUGUUUGGGAUGGGGCAGUCAGAGGUUUCAAGCGUGCAACAUAUUCUGAAACCUGUGACAUGCUGGUCAGAUUUACUGAUGAUACUGGUGUUCUGGAAGAGGGAACUGAAACUGGCGGUCCAAGACCAGAGGUUUUAACUCUACUAAUGAAACACCUAAAAGACCAGAAGGGCAUUGAUUCUUGGUCUACAGUGCAAAUGGUAUGCAUACAUCUAGUUAACAACAGAUGGUGUAACCCUGGUCACGUUACCAUCAAGCAGAGUAUCUGUAGCCCGGACAUUGAACUGUUAGCUGUGGGACUCCGGCCAUAUUAUCUGCCACGUAAAUUCC